rnacentral:lncRNA from 1 species
CUUUGGUAUGCAUUAUAUCAUGUUUUAUUUCAAAUAUGUUGGCUUCAAGAUAACAACCUUAAAAUGUAAUGUUCCAUGGUCAUGAUGUCACGAUGCAACAUGUACAUAGUUUACAGUUUACAAUGUUCAUUUUAAGGAAUAGAUCGUUUGUAGUCAAACUAUAAUAAAUAAUUUUGACCAAGAAUUGUUUGAAACCUUGGGAACUGUAUUUUUGUCAAAUUUCCCACAACCUUAUUUAAAAUACCUUUUCGAUCUUUUUUGUGCUGCGUC